AGUGGCGAACGGGUGAGUAACGCGUGAGUAUCUGCCCUUAGGAGGGGGACAACAGUUGGAAACGACUGCUAAUACCCCAUAUGUCUACGGAUGAAAGAUUUUAUCGCCUGAGGAUGAGUUCGCGUCUGAUUAGCUAGUUGGUGAGGUAAAGGCUCACCAAGGCGACGAUCAGUAGCUGGUCUGAGAGGAUAAUCAGCCACACUGGGACUGAGACACGGCCCAGACUCCUACGGGAGGCAGCAGUGGGGAAUUUUCCGCAAUGGGGGCAACCCUGACGGAGCAAUACCGCGUGCGGGAGGACGGCCUGUGGGUUGUAAACCGCUUUUCUCAGGGAAGAAGACCUGACGGUACCUGAGGAAUCAGCAUCGGCUAACUCCGUGCCAGCAGCCGCGGUAAUACGGAGGAUUCAAGCGUUAUCCGGAAUUAUUGGGCGUAAAGCGUCCGUAGGUGGUUAAUCAAGUCUGCUGUUAAAGAGCGGAGCUCAACUCCGUUUAAGCGGUGGAAACUGGUUGACUAGAGAGUGGUAGGGGUAGAGGGAAUUCCCAGUGUAGCGGUGAAAUGCGUAGAUAUUGGGAAGAACACCGGUGGCGAAAGCGCUCUACUGGGCCACAUCUGACACUGAUGGACGAAAGCUAGGGGAGCGAAAGGGAUUAGAUACCCC
rnacentral:rRNA from 1 species